CCCUUAGAUGUUCUGGGCCGCACGCGCGCUACACUGAGCCCUUCAUCGAGUUUACAACCUUGGCCGGUAGGUCUGGGUAAUCUUCUCAAAGGGGCUCGUGCUGGGGAUAGAUUAUUGUAAUUUUUAAUCUUCAACGAGGAAUUCCUAGUAAACGCAAGUCAACAGCUUGCAUUGAUUACGUCCCUGCCCUUUGUACACACCGCCCGUCGCUACUACCGAUUGAAUGGCUUAGUGAGCCCGAGGGACUGUUGCAACUAGAGGGUUUUCUCUCCAGGAGCAGCCGGGAACUCGGUCAAACUUGAUCAUUUAGAGGAAGUAAAAGUCGUAACA
rnacentral:rRNA from 1 species